AGGAUGAACGCUGGCGGUCUGCUUAACACAUGCAAGUCGAACGGGCGUAGCAAUACGUUAGUGGCGGACGGGUGAGUAACGCGUGAGAAUCUACCUUCAGGACGGAGACAACAGUUGGAAACGACUGCUAACCCCCGAUGUACCGAAAGGGCAAAUAUUUAUAGCCUGAAGAAGAGCUCGCGUCCGAUUAGCUAGUUGGAGAGGUAAAAGCUCACCAAGGCGACGAUCGGUAGCUGGUCUGAGAGGACGAUCAGCCACACUGGGACUGAGACACGGCCCAGACUCCUACGGGAGGCAGCAGUGGGGAAUUUCCGCAAUGGGCGAAAGCCUGACGGAGCAAGACCGCGUGGGGAAGAAGGCUCUUGGGUUGUAAACCCCCGUUUUUCUCUGGGAAGAACGCAAUGGACGGUACCAGAGGAAUCAGCAUCGGCUAACUCCGUGCCAGCAGCCGC
rnacentral:rRNA from 1 species